UACGGGGGGGGCAAGCGUUGUUCGGAAUUACUGGGCGUAAAGGGCUCGUAGGUGGCCAACUAAGUCAGACGUGAAAUCCCUCGGCUUAACCUGGGAACUGCAUCCGAUACUGGAUGGCUUGAAUCCGGGAGAGGGAUGCAGAAUUCCAGGUGUAGCGGUGAAAUGCGUAGAUAUCUGGAGGAAUACCGGUGGCGAAGGCGGCAUCCUGGACCGGCAUUGACGCUGAGUGAACGAAAGCUAGGGGAGCAAACGGG
rnacentral:rRNA from 1 species